CACCAUUUUAUCUGCUCAGCUGGGAAAAAUGACUGAGCCCAUGUGGCAGCUGGAAGGUCAUACGCACCCUUCCAGCCCAAGAAGGAUGCAGACAGCCUCUGCAGCCCCACCAGCCAAGGGAAGCAGAUCCGAGAACUGACCCAUCCCUCUUACUGGCUCCUUAAAUUAAUUUAGGAGUCAGACUGUCAUGAUGAUAUUGAUAGCAAUAGGUGAGUACUAUUAGAUUCCCAAGAUAAUGCAGACUAUUGAAGAACUCUGUUUUAAUAUAAAAUGCAGCCAAUUUUCAAAACACAUAAGGCAUUCUUCAUAUUUAAGAAGUCACAUACCUUGCAUCUUUAAAAUCAUGUAGGGACUCAAGCUCUCGUUCACUAUAGAAGAAUUUUAAAAGUAUGGAUUAAGGAAGUCACAUAGCGGUCAGUAUCAUCAAUCAUAUAUUGAAAGAUUCCAACCUUCUAUUCAAGAAGCUAUUAUCUUUUAAAUCAAGAAAAUGCCUAGGAGAGCCUUUCCUUGUGAAGAAAAAAAGAACUCGAAGACAGCGCUUCAGGGUUUUGCCCUGAAGUAUUUUUCCCGAUGGUAUUUAGCUGCCAAAGUGGAUGAAAUCCUUAACAUGAAGACUUUCUCGCCAAGAGGAGGAAGAUAUGAAUCAAGGAACCUCAUCACCCAAGCCUCAACACCCUAUGGAUAGAGUGGUCAUCUGCUUUCUCCCAAGACAGCCCAGGUUUAUGCCUCCUAUCCUGUAAUGGUUAUUACUAACCCUGCCUCCUCCCUCAUUUGCAUGGACCUUAAAUUAUUAGAUUUAUAAAAGUGCCAACUGUGUAGGCUAUGAAAAGUCAUAUGGUUUAUCGUCUAAAUCCCCACUCAUUACUGGAGUCCAUGUGGCCCUUCAGGAGCUGACCCGACCUACCAUUCCAGUGUAAUUUCCAGCAUUUUCCAAUGCACUCUGUGUUCCAACUCUGCUGAACUACUGGGUUCCCAGAAUGUGACAUGUUUGAUUUCUCGUGGUUUGUAUGUGGCGGUUCUCUCUGCUGUUGGGAAUUCAUUUUCCCCACAAUGUGCUCAAUCUACUCUUCUCCCAGACUCUUCUAAUACUAGCUCUUAGUGAAAUCUCACCUGGAAGCCUCCAUUCUUUGGUGCUUUGUAGAACUUUAACUCACUGCUGACUGUUUGUGGAUUCUACCAUCAGGCCCACUAUGUGUUAUGCCCAGUGCAAGUCUGUGUGAGGGAGAAAGAGAGGGAAGAAAAAGAAAGGAAGGAAAGAAGGAAGAAAAUAAACAUGGAGAGAAUCAAUAAAAUAGGCAUUAUUACUAUAGAGUCCAUAGCUGCUAAAAGGGAAACUGGAAUUUGGGAGUAACUUUUGCAUAAGACUGUGAUAUUUCUCUUUAAUUAUCUGUUCAUAUUU
rnacentral:lncRNA from 1 species